UUGAACGCUGGCGGCAGGCCUAACACCUGCAAGUCGAACGGUAACAGGGAUCAGCUUGCUGAUUCGCUGACGAGUGGCGGACGGGUGAGUAAUGUCUGGGAAACUGCCUGAUGGAGGGGGAUAACUACUGGAAACGGUAGCUAAUACCGCAUAACGUCGCAAGACCAAAGGGGGGGACCUUCGGGCCUCUUGCCAUCGGAUGUGCCCAGAUGGGAUUAGCUAGUAGGUGGGGUAACGGCUCACCUAGGCGACGAUCCCUAGCUGGUCUGAUAGGAUGACCAGCCACACUGGAACUGAGACACGGUCCAGACUCCUACGGGAGGCAGCAGUGGGGAAUAUUGCACAAUGGGCGCAAGCCUGAUGCAGCCAUGCCGCGUGUAUGAAGAAGGCCUUCGGGUUGUAAAGUACUUUCAGCGGGGAGGAAGGGAGUAAAGUUAAUACCUUUGCUCAUUGACGUUACCCGCAGAAGAAGCACCGGCUAACUCCGUG
rnacentral:rRNA from 1 species